rnacentral:lncRNA from 1 species
UUAAAUAAGAGUCAGCAGCCCUAAUUUAAAAUUAAGCUAUUUACAUAGAGAUCCCCAGUUUGUAUAUUUAUUACAUUCAUGGUGAACAUUUCGGAGAAAUUAACACGCCAAACCUCUAUGCAAUGUUGUAUUUCUAAAUUAAUACUAGAGAUUUUUCUACUGAGGCACACCAAAAAUUGCCAAGUAUUUCCCAAGUAUUCCCGC